AUUGAACGCUGGCGGCAUGCUUUACACAUGCAAGUCGAACGGAAACAGGUUAAGCUGACGAGUGGCGAACGGGUGAGUAAUGCAUCGGAACGUGCCCGAUCGUGGGGGAUAACGCAGCGAAAGCUGCGCUAAUACCGCAUACGAUCUGAGGAUGAAAGCGGGGGACCGUAAGGCCUCGCGCGAUCGGAGCGGCCGAUGUCAGAUUAGGUAGUUGGUGGGGUAAAGGCUCACCAAGCCAACGAUCUGUAGCUGGUCUGAGAGGACGACCAGCCACACUGGGACUGAGACACGGCCCAGACUCCUACGGGAGGCAGCAGUGGGGAAUUUUGGACAAUGGGCGAAAGCCUGAUCCAGCAAUGCCGCGUGCAGGAAGAAGGCCUUCGGGUUGUAAACUGCUUUUGUACGGAGCGAAAAGGCUCUCUCUAAUACAGGGGGCUCAUGACGGUACCGUAAGAAUAAGCACCGGCUAACUACGUGCCAGCCGCCGCGGUAAGAC
rnacentral:rRNA from 1 species